CUAGAUCACACUAACUUCCUCUUUGAUCUGUAAGCACUUCAAUGAUUGACUUACAGGUAUAGUCUGAUUUGAAGACAAUAUUUCUCAAAUGACAUAAGCGUAAAUUAAUUUACAAAUAUAGAUUUCUACAAAAUUUGGGACAAAUUUAAUCCUAGAUUUCCUUGCAAAUAUAGGUUUUCACCCCAAAAUAAUAAAGGAUAUAGCAAAAAGUUAAAAAAUAAAAUAACCCUAGUUAAAAGACAAAAAUGCCCCUACAAGUCCAAAAUAAUUAAUUCAACGUUUUAUCUUCCCCAUUUCACAACACUUCAACGUUUUUUCUUCUCGUUUCUUCCUAUUUCUUUUGGUGUUCGAUUGGAUGCAUAAUUUGUUCACACGAGAUUUUCGGAGAAAUUUAAUUCGUAGAUUUGAACUUGGAGUUGAUGUUGUAUCUUUGUUGAUUUCGUUGUGAUGCGGUUCAAUCUCUAGAAUUUGACCCUCUGAUUCUCUCUCGACUGGAUGUUUGUGCUUGAUUUGGAGAAAACUGAACACGUGAUGUUCUUGAAGUUGGAGCCUUGGAAGAAAGCUGGUAUCUUCAAAGAAGUUUCAAUCUUCGAGGAUGGUUGACUCUCUCUCAAUCUUCUAGAGUCAAAAUUUUCCAACCCUACAAAUGAGAAGAAUUUCUCUAUUUAUAGAGUUCACUGGUAGGCUUUAUGUGCUUAAACCUGGUUGAUCCAUGGGGCUCAACCAUAUGUAUUUAGGUUAUAUUUAGUCUUUGGGCUUGGCUUAAUUGAAUUUAAUCCAAGUAAAUAAUAUUUAAUUGAACCAAAAUGAUUAAUUUAAUCCAACAAUUAAAAUGAAAACAUGUGGCAUUAUUAGAACGGUCAAAUUUAUGUUUUUUAAUUUGGGGCACAUGUCAAUUUUAAUUAGUCUCAAAUUUAAUUAUUUGUACUUUUUAUCCUUAACUUAAUAAAUGUUGUAGUAAUUUGUGAUUGGUCUCAAAAUUUCUUAUUCAACCGAUGCAUCUACAUCAUUUUGGAUUUCUCAAUUUUAUCGUUUACUGUCUCUUUGCUUUUCGUCUAAGAAGCACGAACACAAAUACAGAUAUGGAUACGAGACACGAAUACGACACGACAACACACCAUAGUAAAUGAUUUGAUGCAUUUAUAUGCUUAAAAGACUUAAAACUAAAAACUAAAGUCUAUCGAUGAUAGAAAUAACUUUGAUCUAUUGUCGCGAAAAGAAAAGGAACAGUAAACGAUGAAAUUGAGAAAUAAAAAAUGAUGUAGAUGCAUCCAAUCAAACACCAAAAGACCAAACGAAAUGGGAGGAAACGAGAAGACAAAGCGUUGAAAUGGGAAAGAUAUGAAGCGUUGAACGAAUUAUCUUGGGCUUGUAAGGACAUUUUUGUCUUUUAAUUAGGGUUGUAGUCAAAUUUUGCAUAUCUGCAUUUUUUUUUCUUUUUGCUAUAUAUCUUUAAUUAUUUUGGGCUGAAAACUUAUAUUUUCAAGCAUCCCUAAAAAAAAAAGGUGAAUUUAACGCAUUAUCGUAACUUGAUCUAUUUAAUAAGGCUAUUAGGAGAGAAAGCCCUUAUAAAAAAAAUAUAAGCCAGAAUCUAUACUAAGCAGAUUUGGGGCACGCGGGAAACAAAAGGGGCCUUUUACGUUGUGGCGGUAAGUCAAGACAUGAAAGCUGCCAAACAAGGAAAAGGAAAUUUCUUAUAAAAAAGAGGGGACAGGUGAAGCCGGUGAGAAUUUACUUUUAAUAUCUCAGGUGGAGCAAUCUUUUGGAACUAAUCCCAGAAAGGAUAUCUCAUUAGUUAAUUUCCUCACCUGAAACUUAAACCAUGGCGGACGCAAUUCCCUUCCAAGUUGCUGGGGAGAUGGGAGAUCUUGAUGAAGCUAAGCUCUCAAGCUUUCCAGCGGCUUGGGAUGCUACUUGGGCUGAAGGCUGAUCUUUACAAACUCACAAGCACUGUUUCAACCAUUAAGGAUGUGGUUCUUGAUGCAGAGGGGCGUCAAGUAAAAGUCACUUGCUGGAGAAUUGGCUUCAAAAACUGGAAGAAGCUCUUUAUGCUGUGGAUGUGCUUGAUGAACUCUCCAGGGAGGCUCUUCAUCGAGAAGUGAUGACUAGAGAUAAAAAUGCAAAACAAGUAAGGAUCUUCUUCUCCAAAUCUAAUCAAAUCGCAUUUAACUACAGGAUGGCUCGUCAAAUAAAGAAAGUUUGGGAGAGACUAGAUGCUAUUGAUGCUGAAAAAAAACAAUUUCAUUUGCAUGAAAACUGUGAAUAAAAAAAAAUUCCCUAUAGUUCGUUUGAUCAAAUAAUGGCUGGAAGAGAAUCUUGGUGUUUUUCAAACGAAGAGGAGGUGAUCGGGAGGAAUGAUGAUAAGAAAAAGGUAAAGCACCUUUUAUUGGAUGAUGUAUGGAAUGAAAGUGAAGAGAAAUGGCAUGGGUUGAAACCUUUGUUAAUGAGUGGUGCGAAAGGGAGUAAGAUUUUCAUCACAAUGCGUGAUAGUAAAAUAGCUGCAGAAAUUGAAAGCAUGACUUCUUUAUUCACUUUAGAAGGCUUACCGAAGAGUAAAUCUUGGUCAUUAUUUAGUAAAGUGGCAUCCAAAGAAGGCAAGGUGCUUGAAAAUUCAAACUUGUUACAGUUAGGAAAAGAAAUUUCAGUGAAAUGUGGAGGUGUUCCCUUGUAACAAGAUACGUUGGCCGCUUGCUAUACUCUAAAACUUCAGAAGAAGAGUGGAUAUUUUUCAAGGAUAACGAACUUUUAGAAAUCAUUAAGCAAGACAAUUAUAUGACAUAAGUAUUAAAACUGAGCUAUAACCUAAGAAGCAGUGACACGCCAGUUGGAAUGUCAUUAUUAUUAUUCUUUUAUUUUAAUUUCGCACACAGCCCCGACAUGGCUGGAAAAAAAAAACACAAAGGUUAGAAAUGCCCAUUAGCUCGGGCCAGCAAUUAUUAGGUUCUUUUUUCUUUAAUUUUAUCUUUUCAAAUCAUUUUUCACACAUUUCUCCCAUCUGCGGAUUUUUCACAAAUUCUCGCUGCCAACCCUCUCUGCCCUAACUUGUUGGGUCUUAUGGCUCUAAACUUAUAUUUUGAUGUUUUAAUUGGAAUAUUUUACUAUGUUUAGAGCAUGACAUAUAUUUAAUUUUUUUUACUAAAAAUUUGACGUGGUUGUGUCCUACUUUUUUUUUAAAAUGAUGUGUCACAUAUCACAUGUGGUGCGUCUGUAUCUGUGCUUCCUAGACUAUAACCAUCUCACACCAAGUUUGAAACAAUGUUUUGCCUAUUUAUCCUUGUUACCCAAAAGGUAGAGCUUAAAUAUAAGAGAUUUGAUUAGACAAUGGAUGGCUCUAGGUUUAAUAGAAUCAUCAAAUGGAAGUAAAUCCAUGGAAGAUACAGGAAAGGACUAUUUCAAGGAGUUAUGUUGGAGGUUUUUUGGAAAAUUCCAUCAAUGAGUGUAACUUCGACAAUAAUGUCCACAUGAAUGAUGUGAUACGUGAUCUUGCAACAAAUGUAGCAGGAAAAAAUAUGUAGGUGAAAAUCUCAAUUCUAAUUAUGCUUUCGGUGAAAAGACUCGUCAUGUUUCAUAUGUUCUAUUCAAACUAUGGUCAGAUGUUCUAUUCAACUUACGCAAGGCAAAGGAUUAAGAACGUUCCAGCUAUUGUCAUCCAAUUCUAAAUACGAAAAGAAGAAUGAGAUCAAUGAAGCUAUUUUGGAUGAAGUACUUUCCAGUUUUCCACGUUUGCAAGUAUUGGGUCUUAAUAACUCAAAUAGUCGCUAAGUGCCAAACUUUAUAAGAAGGUUUAGACAUCUUCGAUAUCCAAACCUCCCUGAAAAUAUUAUGAAAUCACUUCCAAAUUCAAUCACUGAAUUGCAAAACUUGCAAAUGCUAAAUCUAAUGUACUGUAGCGAACUAAUGGAAUUGUCAAGGGACACCAGAAAUCUUAUUAAUCUUAGGCAUCUUGAUUUCAAUAGUUCUACCUUAACCCAUAUGCCCGAAGAGAUGGGGAAGUUGAAUUGUCCACAGACACUAAGUUAUUUUGUCUUGGACUACGAAAGGUCUAAUCAGCUGAGUGAACCGACUGUGUUGAUCCAUUUAAAAGGAGAUUUAAGAAUAAAAAAUUUAGAGCAACUGAGUUACAAUCCAUCUGAACUCAGUUUAGUAAACCUGAAAGACAUAAAAGGCUUCAAGAAUCUGGAACUAGAAUGGAACCUAAGCCCAGAUGAUCAAGAAUAUGAAGGUGAGGAUGAUGAAACUUCAGCAAUGGAAGGCCUAGAACGACAUUCAAAUGUUGAAUCCUUGCACAUUGACGGGUACAGCGGAGUAGGAUUACCCAAUUGGGUGUCCACCUUGCUCUUGAAGUUAACUAGAAUUACAAUUUAUAAAUGCCAUAGAUUGCAACAUCUAACACAGAUAGCCCAUCUUCAGGCACUCACAUUUCUAUUUUUGGAUGACAUGAGCUCUCUUGAGUUCAUAGACAAGAAUGAACCAUCUUCCUCGUCCUCUUUCCCAUCUCUCGAGCUUCUAAUUAUCGAAAACAUGCCGAAUUUGGAAGGAUGGUGGGAAUUAGGGAACACUCAAAAAAAUUGGUUACCACCAACUUUCUCUACGCUGAUUUCCCUGCAUAUCUCUAGGUGUCCUAAGUUUAGAUUCAUGCCCAAGCCAGCUUCAACAGGAACAGUUGUGUUCUUACGUGAUGUGAGCGUUCAAUUGGAGACUACAUUAGAUCCAUUGUGGGGUUUGGAAUGUCUAACACUGGAAAAAAUUAAGGAUCUCAAAUAUCUAGAAACCAUGGAAUCUCAGCUAAACAUCAGUUCUUUGCCAAUACAACUUCGAGAUUUAGAAAUAAAUAAAUGCUCGAAUUUGAUGAGUUUACCUGAAUGGAUUAGCAGCAUUACUUCGCUAGAGGAGCUGGAGAUUAUGAAAUGCCCGAAACUAAAAGUAGCUUUUGCAUCGGCGGUUGCCCCGAAGUAGGAGAAAGAUGCAAAGAGGGAGGAGAGGAUUGGGCUAAGAUUGCUCACAUUCCCCAUUUUGAGCACUUUCUUGUCGACGACUAAGGAGAAGAACUUUUCAUGCACUUUUGUUCUCUUCCUCUUAAUCCUUUUUCUUUUACGAAUCUAAUUUUGUCAUUCGUUGAGAAAAUAUUUUUUUUUAGUUUAUUUUUUACAUGGAUUGCAAUUUUUUUAUUCACUUUCUUUUGAUUCUACUCUAUUUUCAUCUUAUUUAAUUAGAGAUUGCAGUUUGGAAAAAAAAAAUGAAAAGAAG
rnacentral:lncRNA from 1 species